UCCGGAUAACACUAGAGUUCGAAAGCUGGCAUAGUCAAUAGUGUCGGAAUUUGAAUCUGUAGUGCUUACACGAAGCUUGAGUUGUGUGGAGUCCGAAUAUGCAAAAAUCACUGCCCAAAACUUGUCGAAAAGUGCUAGAUCAAUGCUGGGAUGACGCUGCUCCGGUGAGGCUCCACCAAGGCUGUUGGCAAGGAUAAUGGGCGGAGAAGGGGCUGAACUUAGCUGUCGGAGGGUGAGGUACUCAAAUCCAACGUCGGAUUUGUAAAGGGACGAUGGCAGAAGGUGGUUCUUGCGGUGCCAGCGGAGAUUGACGCCUCCUCCUCUUGUUGUAGCGUUUUCCGGCGAUGGGGAAGGGGGAAUGGCGACGCCGGCUGGAAGGAGAGGAAGAGAAAGGGGAGGGCUGGUGGCUGUGGUGGUU
rnacentral:lncRNA from 1 species